AAAAACAUUUUUUUACGGAGGAUAAAAUAGGACCUGCUCACUGUUAAAUAAAGAGCUGCAGUAUUUUAACUGUGCUAAGGUAGCAUAAUAAUUUGUUUUUUAAUUGAGAACUGGAAUGAAAGGUUUAACGAUAUUUUUGCUUUUUUAAUUGAUUAUUUUGAAUUUUAAUUUAAAGUGAAAAUUCUUUAGUGUUCUUAAAAGACGAGAAGACCCUUAGAAUUUAACUAUUUAUUUUAAAGAAAAUUUACUAUUAAGUUAUUUUGGGAGAUUUAGUUUGGCUGGGGCGGUUUGAGAGUAUUUAAUUAACCUUUUUUAAAUUUAACUUUUAUUAAGUAGGGUUUGAACCUCUUUAGGGGAUUAGAGUUAAUUACCUUAGGGAUAACAGCGUAAUCUGAUUUUGGAGUUCAUAUUUACAAUCAGGUUUGU
rnacentral:rRNA from 1 species